ACCCGCACAAGCGGUGGAUGAUGUGGUUUAAUUCGAUGCAACGCGAAAACCUUACCCACCUUUGACAUGUACGGAAUCCUUUAGAGAUAGAGGAGUGCUCGAAAGAGAGCCGUAACACAGGUGCUGCAUGGCUGUCGUCAGCUCGUGUCGUGAGAUGUUGGGUUAAGUCCCGCAACGAGCGCAACCCUUGUCAUUAGUUGCUACAUUCAGUUGGGCACUCUAAUGAGACUGCUGGUGACAAACCGGGGGAAGGUGGGGAUGACGUCAAGUCCUCAUGGCCCUUAUAGGUGGGGCUACACACGUCAUACAAUGGAUGGUACAAAGGGUCGCCAACCCGCGAGGGGGAGCCAAUCCCAUAAAGCCAUUCGUAGUCCGGAUUGUUCUCUGCAACUCGAGAGCAUGAAGUCGGAAUCGCUAGUAAUCGCAGGUCAGCAUACUGCGGUGAAUACGUUCCCGGGUCUU
rnacentral:rRNA from 1 species